GGUGUGGAAAACACCCAGGUUCCAGGAGCAGUGCCCUCCCUCAAACUGAUCCCAGGUUUUCAAAGAGAUUUCUAUAAAGCUCUGUUGGCAGAACAUGAGGAACCUCAGACGGAUUUACAAGGUCUCCCCUGUACACUGUGGGACGUGCCACCUCCCAAGUGCUCACCUAGAAGACUUUGCACCAUUGUUCACCACCUUGAGAAAUACAAUGAGUCAAAGCUCACUUAUGCACUUUUUAAACACAUCGGUUACUUCGCACUACAAAGUCACGAGAAGGGCCGCGAAGUGCAAGGCUCGGCCUCCUGGGCACCGGCAGUGCUGCGGGUGCGCUCAGAGGAGCCGGCCCAGUCUCCUCCUCGGCCAGCACCUGCGUGAGCUCCUGGCUCUCACAGAGCCACAGGUAACUCCAGGCACCGGCAGCUCCCACCGCGGGCAGGUUUUGCACCGCUGGCAGCACGAAAAGCCCCGCUGGGUUACAGCAGGGCGGCGAACCCCGAGCUGGGGCUGCUCUCCCUCCCCGGGAGCCGCACCUCAGGCUCCCGGCUCCGGGCUCCGGCUGCGGCGGGGCGGGCGGCAACGCCCCGGGCGCGGCAGAUCCCACCUGUUACAGCCCGCCGCACUCACCAGGUACUCGGGGUACUCGUACAUGUAGGUCAUGCUGCACCGGUUGUCUUCGUAGAGGAACAUCACGUCCCGUACGCCCAGCAGCACCAGGGCCGCCAGCGCCCCGUAGAAGAGCGCUGCCAGCGCGGGCAGCCGGCGGCCCGCCCGCCCCAUGGCACCCCGCGGAGCGGAGCGCUGCUCCCCGCGGGCUCCCCGCGCACACGGGCACGGCGGGGCGGGGCGGGGCGGGAGCGCCGCCGCCCGGGAGGCGGAGCGGGAGGGCGGCCGGGCCGGCGCCUCAACCUGGCCGCCACCGGCGCCAGGGGGCGGCCGCCAUGUUUGGGAGGUCGGGCGGCCGCUGGGCCGAGGGGCCCGCCCGCCAUGUCGCGGCUCGCGGGGAAGUCGUGUCCGCCAUGAUGGGGAGGGCGCCGCGCCGGGCCGGGAGGGGAGCGCGGCCGGGAAGGGAGCGCGGCCGGGAGGGGAGCGCGGCCGGGAGGGGAGCGCGGCCGGGAGGGAGCGCGGCCGGGAGGGGAGCGCGGCCGGGAGGGGAGCGCGGCCGGGAGGGGAGCGCGGCCGGGAGGGGAGCGCGGCCGGGAGGGAGCGCGGCCGGGAGGGGAGCGCGGCCGGGAGGGGAGCGCGGCCGGGAAGGGAGCGCGGUGCUCCGGGGCCAGAUCCGAGCCCGCCGGGCCGCGCACCCCGCUGGGCACGGACCCUGCCCUGGGGUGAGCGAUUCCGUGAUAAACCUCCAGAAAGCUGCAGGCACUCAGCACCUGAAAGGCGCUGCUGGAUAUUUGGUUUUGGGUUUGUUUUCUUUUUUGUGGAUUUUGUUUGCUUGCUUUAAUUCGGGUAUUUUUGACACCUCACUAUCGUUAUCUUUAAGUUCUCUGCUGCAUUUUAGUCCCUUUGGGACUGCUGCCUCAGACCGGUGCAGGGCACACGCAGCAGUGCGGGUGGUGCUCACAAGGAAAAGAGGAAAAUACUUAUUGACUGUAAAAAAAAAAAAAAAUUGCUGUCAUGGUUUAUUAUAUUCCCUCACCUUCCCCGAAUCUAAAGAGAAACCAAAAUACCAAAAUCAAAUUUCUGGGGCAAGGGGUAUUUACAUAUGAGGGAAGUACGAAACAGUUGCAUUUUCAUCUUCACUGCUAUAUACUUAAGCCUCCCCGGCUGCCCCAAAAGAAACAAAAUCUGCUCAGUUUUCCACUGUAUUUGUACCAUUUUUAUUUGUAAAAAUAACCUUCUGAAUGCAUUACAAUAGUACUUUACAGUCAAGGUUCUUUAUUACAUUAAUACAGCAUUCAAUAGUUUAAAAAGUUACUAAACUGUGCUUGAGAAGAUUCAGGAUGAAUUCCAAGUCAUUCAAUGAAUGAAGGUUUUUCUCCUCAUUUCAUAUGUGACAUUUACCCAAGUCCUUAAACUUCAAUUUACAAAAGCAAACAAUACCGACAAAACCCCACCAAAAACCAUCAAACAAUGUUUUAUAUUGUUUAUUACAAAUGUUAUGCAAAAUAUAACACUGGCACCAGAUGCAUAUCACCAUGGUUUGUAAAGAUAUAUUGCACAUGCUAAAGCAUAAAAUAUAAGACAAAACCUACAAAACGUAAGAUAUUGGCUUUAAUAUGUCGAUCACUGCAUAAGAAAUGCAUAAAAUUACAUUUUAUACACACACUCAAGAUUGUCACUAGUUUAAAACGCCCUUUCCUAUAACACUGACCUAAGUUUACUUUUUGUGUAAUAAGAAAGCAUUUUCAGCACUGCAAAAAUUAUACAUUAUUCCUAUAGAAAUUUAGCAUAUUAAUUUUCAUUUCAAUGCAGGUAGAACAUAUGAAAAGAAGAAACACUUUAUACAUUCAAAGAAGGUCUGAAAUGAAAAUUUACUGGUAAUAUAUUGCUUUUAUAACACUCAAAUGAAAAAAAAAAAAAAAAAGACAAGUUUCACAAAACAUUUCCAUUA